CACAUGCGAAGUAUUUUCUCUCAGAAGGGCGGAAACUGGUCUGGUGGCGGGGAGGAGUUACGUUUCCGAAUGGAACUGCAACGAGAGUAUGGGACGUCCUGGGAGAUAAUGGAUUUAUUUGAUCGAGAGAAUAUUUCAAAAUGAGAAGAUCCUGCCAUGGAAAGAUGACUGGUUGGACAUAAAAUGGAAAUGAGAAGUAACUCCCACCAUGCAGCAGGACACCUUCAACUGCAGGGUCUUUGUAAUGCAGAUGGCCAAGGAAGUUGCACAGAACUUCUCCAACAUCCCCUCCCAAAUUGAUAUAGAACCUUCACAAAAACACAUGGAGCAACUGUGAAAAGAAAUGGCUGAGGAUAUACUAAACAUGUCUGAGUUCAACAAAGCCAAUGACUGCUUCAUGUGUGCCACUGAUAAAGAACCUGGAUUUGGCCCAAAGACUGACUGGGUUAGUAACUUUAUCUAACAUGUUUAUAAUCUUUUGAAAACAGUGUCGGCAUGUAAGACCAUUUAUGAUAUAACACAAUGGAUGGCUAAUUCGUCAUACUGCAUUGAAAUGUGAUAUUAUUUAUAACGUGUUACGUUUUGAUUUAGAUUGAAUGUUUUGCAUGCCAAAAAGAGUUCAACAGAGUGAAGAACAUCAACUGGAAGUGCUGUCUUUGUUGUUGUAAAUGUAUGCUAUACCCCAUCCACACUGAAGAGGCUCUGACAUGUACAUCAACCAGGGAUAAUGUAUGCUAUACCCCAUCCACACUGAAGAGGCU